CAAAAGGGCCUUUGCAUUCAUCGCACAUGUGUUCCCUGUGGACCCAUGCGGAAUCGCCAUCAAGAGAUUUCGGAGGCAUAAUAUUUGGAUAUAGAGGCAGCUAGCGUCAUAUAUCGCUGGCGCCCAU